GAUGAACGCUGGCGGCGUGCCUAAUACAUGCAAGUCGAACGCAUAGCGAAAGGUGCUUGCACCUUUCAAGUGAGUGGCGAACGGGUGAGUAACACGUGGACAACCUGCCUCAAGGCUGGGGAUAACAUUUGGAAACAGAUGCUAAUACCGAAUAAAACUUAGUGUCGCAUGACACAAAGUUAAAAGGCGCUUCGGCGUCACCUAGAGAUGGAUCCGCGGUGCAUUAGUUAGUUGGUGGGGUAAAGGCCUACCAAGACAAUGAUGCUUAGCCGAGUUGAGAGACUGAUCGGCCACAUUGGGACUGAGACACGGCCCAAACUCCUACGGGAGGCUGCAGUAGGGAAUCUUCCACAAUGGGCGAAAGCCUGAUGGAGCAACGCCGCGUGUGUGAUGAAGGCUUUCGGGUCGUAAAGCACUGUUGUAUGGGAAGAACAGCUAGAAUAGGAAAUGAUUUUAGUUUGACGGUACCAUACCAGAAAGGGACGGCUAAAUACGUG
rnacentral:rRNA from 1 species